AUACGUAGGGGGCGAGCGUUGUCCGGAAUGAUUGGGCGUAAAGGGCGCGUAGGCGGCCUGUUAAGUCUGGAGUGAAAGUCCUGUUUUCAAGAUGGGAAUUGCUUUGGAUACUGAUGGGCUUGAGUGCAGGAGAGGUUAUCGGAAUUCCCGGUGUAGCGGUGAAAUGCGUAGAGAUCGGGAGGAACACCAGUGGCGAAGGCGGGUAACUGGACUGCAACUGACGCUGGGGCGCGAAAGUGUGGGGAGCAAACAGGAUUAGAUACCCUGGUAGUCCACGCGGUAAACGAUGAAUGCUAGGUGUUGCGGGUAUCGACCCCUGCAGUGCCGGAGUAAACACAAUAAGCAUUCCGCCUGGGGAGUACGGCCGCAAGGUUGAAACUCAAAUGAAUUGACGGGG
rnacentral:rRNA from 1 species